UUGAAGUGUUACUGAAAAACAUUUUUACCAUCUCUUGACUCAAAUAUGUUAGGGCUGCCAAGGCAGGGUGGGAUUGGACUAACAACUUGUGGGCUGCUAGUGGCUUGUUCUGGAUUUACAAAGUGGUCAACACUGAUGGUUUGUUUAUUUACUACAUUAAUAUGCUGCCUUUUCUCCAAGAUGCUCAAUGCAGCAUACAUGGUUGUUCUCCCCCCCUCCAAACUUUACCUUCACAACAACCCUAUAAGGUAGGUUAGGCUGAGAUAUGAUGACUGUCCCAAGGUCAGCCAGUGAGCAUCUUGGCAGAGUAGAGAUUUGACUUUGGCUCUCCCUAGUCCAGGCAUGAUCAUGUGUAAUGCUGCUCAUGUGUGAGUCCCUCAGGGGCCACACAGUCUGACAACAUAGUGUUUUAAAGGUAUAUUAUAUGUUUGUUAUACUUGGUUUUAGUUUUUUUUGUUAUUGUAAGUUACUGGGUUGCUUUUGUGAGAAAAUUGACUAAUACAUAUAAAUAGCUAUUGCUGGCCACUGGUGUCAGUUAACAGUUGCCUCCAGGUGACUGUACUUCUGUACUCUUAAUUGGGAUAGAGCAGUACACACAGUCACCAUAGUUGUGCUCCCUAUUAAACAGUGCAGUAAUAUUGUAUGCACAACUCUUGUUCCUUGUCUUGGGUUGGGACCUAGAGAAGGAAGUGCAUCGGGAUGGGGUGUGGAGAGUGUGGUGAGUGAGCGGAGGUACUUGUUUACAAGGUUAUGGCAUUGGGAUUUAUGCAUACAUAAUCAUAGCAUUUGUAACAAUUCAUUCCGUCCAAUGACUCCAGUUCACAUGUGGGGGGAUGCUGAUGGCCAUGUGAACCUCUGCUUACUCUUUUCACUGUUAUGGAAUGAUCUGUGCAUGAUCUCCACUACAUAAGCAGAACAUUGGGGCAGCCCUUGAUUAUGGAAAGUUUGGGGAAUUAAUUUUCUAUAUAGCUCCAAAUGUGUUCUAGAACAAACAGUAUCUUUUCUUACUCUCUUGAUUUUUGUGAUAUCACCAAAAGCUUUGCAUAACACUGUCAGUUCUAAAACCAUAAUAGAAUUUAAGUUCCCCAGGGGAAGACAUGAUGCCCCCUGAGGUCUUUCUCUCAGAUGUCAACUGGUGGGCCCCUCUCCUAGCUAUUUUAUUCACACAUAUUAACUCCACGGGUGAUAUUCCUCCAGGCUGGCGUUCCAGCAUUGUGGUGCCCAUUUUUAAGAAAGGAGACCCUUCGGAUCCUCGUAAUUACAGACCCAUUAGUCUCCUAGAUGUGACAUCCAAAUUGUAUGGGCGUUUCCUUCUGAAUAAAUUACUGUCAUGGGAAUCUAGGCACGCCAUUCUACAUGAAGAACAGGCCGGGUUCAGGAAGGGUAGGAGCGCCAUAGACCAUGCGUUUGUUCUCCAGCAUUUAAUAUACAAAACCAUUAAGGGCCCAAACAAGAUCCUUUACGUGGCGUUUGUAGAUUUCACCUCGGCCUUUGAUUUAAUUGACAGGGACUUAUUAUGGCAUAAGCUGAGCCAGACCAAUAUCGACAAAAGGCUGCUUUGGCAAAUUCAAUCUUUACAUCAGGCCAAUUCCCUCCAGGUCCUCCUGGGUCUGCAUGGCACCCUUUCCUGAGCAAUUCAGGUCUCGGCUCAGUUUAUCUAAAGGAGCGCCUACAACGCCACCAAUUAUGCCGCCUGACAAGAUCGGCCACGCAAGGCCUUCUCUCAAUCCCGCCAACCAAAUUAGCUAGGUUGGCAGGAGCUAGAGAGAAGGCCUUUUCAGUGGCGGCCCCCACCCUCUGGAACUCCCUCCCACAAGAUCUUCGGCACGCCUCUUCCCUGAAUAUGUUCCGCAAGGCCUUAAAGACCUGGCUUUUUCAACAGGCUUUUGGGACUUCUGUUCUUAUGAUUGAAACGCCUCCUACCCUGUAUUGUUGUUAUCUUAAUUUAUAUUGUUAUAUUGUAUUUUAUUGUAUUGUAUUUUGCUGCAUUUUACUAUAUGUACGUCGCCUAGAGUGGCCAUCGGCCAGAUAGGCGACACAUAAAUUAAAUUUUAUUAUUAAUUUUAAGCAAGGCUGUAUAUUGGCACAAUUUCUGUUCAAUUUUUAUAUAAAUGAUAUCAUCCCCGAGAUGGCUUCUCCUGCGUUCUUCCUGCCAUUGGUCGGGAGCCGGAAGAUCUCAUCACUGCUCUAUGCUGACGACCUGGUCCUACUCUCCCUGAAUAAAAUUGGUCUUAAAAGGAUGCUCGCUCGACUGGGUAACUUCUGUAAUGAGCAGCAUUUGGUUGUUAACCACUCUAAAACCAAGAUCAUGACUUUUGGCAAAAAAAAGUCCAAAUGGGUCCUUAACGGGCACCAACUGGAGCAGGUGCACUUUUUUAAAUACUUGGGUCUGUGUUUUAGUGACAAUCUUUCGUGGAAGUAUCAUCUAGAGGUAACUAAACUCUCAUGUGCCAGAGCAACUGGCCAAAUUAGAAGGUUCUUUUACACUCGAGGAGGGCAGUUAAUCAACCCGAUGCUCAAAGUAUUUGUGGCCAAAAUCUUGGCCAAAGUUCUAUACGGGGUAGAGCUGUGGGGGGGGCUUGGUUAAACACACGUUAGAAGUCCUCCAAAACAAAUUUAUGAGGCAGAUCCUGGGGCUCCCCCAAGGGGUUCCAUCGUCUCAUUUAAGAGCAGUGCUCGGCCUCCCAUCCCUUUAGGCAAAAAUGGACUUAGCAUAUUUUAGAUACUGGCAGAGGUUAUCCAGUAUGGAUGACUGCUCUCUCUCCAAACUUUGCUGGAUAGAACAACAUAGGAUUGGGGGUUGGGCCCAAGUGUGCCAAGAAAAAUUAAAGAUCUAUAACCUUACCCUGGGAAAGUAUCUAAGUCUUAACCAACUUGAGCUCUGGAACUGGGUCUUUGACCACGAUGCGUGCCAAGAUCGGGCAACAAUUGUUGUAGCCCCUUUCUCCCCCUGGUUCCUCCUACUUAAGCCCAACCACGCUAAACCACAAUAUUUUGAGGUGUUGACGUGUGCCCAUUUACGUAGGGCGUUCACGAAACUUAGAUUCCAAGUGAUGCCCUCGGCUUAUCUAGAUGGAAGAUACAUGGGAACCCUGAUCAAGGAACGGAGAUGCGUCUUUGGUUGCAAUCAGAUAGAGGACAUUGUCCAUUACCUCAUAUAUUGCCCCCUGUACGAGGACCCCAGAAGAAAAUUUCUGGCUAUCUAUACCUGCUCGCACUGGGGGAAAGCCCUCCAGGAUAUGGUAGUAGAGCUACUAGCUGACAAGCAUAAACAAGUAACAGUUGCAGUGGCCAAUUUUGCCCUAGCUGCUGAGGGCGAGUCAUAUUAAGUUCUGCAGAAAUGUGCCCGCUGUAAUAUUGUACCCCCCUCAGCUUCCACAGAGUUCAUUUGCUGUUUAUUUUAUCUUUUCUGUAUUUUGCAAAGGCCUAUGGCUAUACUCAAUAAAAUUGAUUGAAUAGAAUUUAAGCUAAUUCUCCCCUCCCCCUCUUGAUUAGCUCCAUAACCCAAGCAUAUAAAUUGUAAGCAAGGUAUAUCCAGAACACUAUACUUGAUGACUUUCGAAAUGAAUAUGGUAAGAACUCUGAGUGCUGGCCAUAAGUUUUUCAAACCAUUAGCACAUCAAACAAAAAUGACAGCACUUCUGGGUGCACAAACUGUGGAGUGCUUAUAAGCACAUGCCCUUUCAAAGUACUAAAGGAUGUAGAUAAAAUUAGUUAUUAAAGAGAAGAACAAAUGGUAGAACGCAGUUUGUGCAAAAAGAAAACUGGCUUGCGAGAGUUCAGGUGUGUUAUGGCUGUGCCAGUUUUAUUUAAACCUGCAACCAUCUUCUACUCUGUAUUUAUUGAUGCAGUGGGUGUUGUAGGCAGUGAUGGUGGUGGUGAAAACUGUGAAGAUUCAACAAUGCAUUUAAGAGGCUAAGAACUGGUAGGACAGUUGGAUCCGGUGAGCCAUUUUGGCAGGUUUCCUUUACAUAAGAAGAGCCUGUUGAAUCAGGCCAAUGGCCCAAUUUGUCCACCAUCCUUUUCUCUUAUUGGCCAACCAGAUUUAUUUAUUUAUUUAUUGCAUUUAUAGCCUAUGGGAAACCCGCAAGCAGGACUUGAGUGCAAGAGCACUCUCCUGCCGUUUCCAACAACUGGUAUUCAGAAGCAUACUGCCUCCAACUGUUGAGCCACUGAUAUCCUUAUCCUCCAUGAAUUUGUGUAAUCCUCUUUUAAAGCCACCUAAGUUGGCGUCCAUCACUGCCUCUUGUGGGAGUGAGUUCCGUAGCUCAGUUAUGUGAAGCAUGAAGAGUAAUUUCUUUUGUCUGUCUUGAAUUUUCCAACAAUCAGCUUCUUUGGAUGUCCACGAGUUCUAGUGUUAGGGAGAAAAACUUCUUUCUCAUAUCUACAUUCUCCACAUCCCCAAUUUUAUACACAAAUACCUAAUUUUAUACACAUAUCAUGUUACCUCUUAUUCUCCUUUUAUCUAAACUAAAAAGACCCCAAAGCUGCAACCUUUCCUCAGGAGCCCAGGAAGUCAUACUACAAAAGAAAACUCAAGCCAGACUUGAAGUUGCCACAUCUCAGCUGAUCUGUGCUGAUUUCAAGCUCCACUUUCUGCAGGGGUCAGCUGGAAUUCUCCAUGCAGAACUCCAUAGCACAUCUGAUCCCAGAGAGCUUAAAGUUGGUGCCAAUCAGCUGAUGGGCACCAACCUUAAGCUCCUUUUACCUGGCUUGCUCUCACUAGUAGUCAUCUGGUGGUGACUGCAAGCCUAUAUUGCCAGUGCACACUUUAAGGCUCCUGGUUGUGCUUUGGCAGCCGCAUCUCCACCUGUCCCUCUCCUGAUGUCACAUAUGACAUCAGGUUUGUGGCUGGUGGGCAUAGUUUGAGAAAACUACCUUGUGAUCGAAAUUGGGACACAAACAACUGUGUGUGUGUGUAGUGCUGCUGAUUGAGUGCUGAACGAGACACAGCUGUGGACAGCUUGAGGAAGCUCCAUCAACGUUUCCCAUACAUAAGCAAAGUUAGAGAGAGAGAGAGAGAGACUCUGUUGAUUGUAGGAUUUUGGGGAUUAUCUGUAAGUUUAUUUGGGGCCCCAGUGAGAGCCAGUGUAGAUGGUUGGAGUCUUGGUUGGAGACUGAGAGGUACGGAGCAGUGAGCAGUAUCAGAAGAAGCAAGGAUUGUUAUCGGUUCAACUUGUGAUUUAUCCAAUUUCCAAAACAUCCUGGCAAUCUAGAACAUACUUUCUCUAAUAAAUCAUACUGUGGGUUUAAAGAAGAGUCUGUCC